AUGCCGAAGCCGAGCGCUUCCAAGGCGACAGGGAAGACCUGCAGGUUCAUCAGUGGUGUGGUGGAAGGCUUUUACGGGCGACCAUGGACUAUGAACAGAGGACUGAGCUUUUCCAAAGGUAGUAAACCAUUUCUAAACACACACUCACCCAUACUCUUUCUCUCCCUCUUCAUCAUCCUCUUUCUCUCCCUCUUCAUCAUACUCUUUCUCUCCUCUUCAUCACACUCUUUCUCUCCCCUCUUCAUCAUACACUUUCUCUUUCUCUCCCUCUUCAUCAUCCUCUUUCUCUCCCUCUUCUUCACAGGGAACUUAUUAUCCACCUUGUUCCUUUCACUGAUCCAGUCCUUACAGGAAGUUGUUCCUUUCACCGAUCCAGUCCUUACAGGAAGUUGUUCUUUUCACCGAUCCAGUCCUUACAGGAAGUUGUUCCUUUCACCGAUCCAGCCCUUACAGGAAGUUGUUCCUUUCACCGAUCCCAGCCCUUACAGGAAGUUGUUCCUUUCACCGAUCCAGCCCUACAGGAAGUUGUUCCUUUCACCGAUCC
rnacentral:lncRNA from 1 species